rnacentral:rRNA from 1 species
AGUGAACGCUGGCGGUAGGCCUAACACAUGCAAGUCGAACGGCAGCACAGUAAGAGCUUGCUCUUACGGGUGGCGAGUGGCGGACGGGUGAGGAAUACAUCGGAAUCUACUUUUUCUUGGGGGAUAACGUAGGGAAACUUACGCUAAUACCGCAUACGACCUACGGGUGAAAUCAGGAGAUCUUCGGACCUUGCGCGAUUGAAUUAGCCGAUGUCGGAUUAGCUAGUUGGCGGGGUAAAGGCCCACCAAGGCGACGAUCCGUAGCUGGUCUGAGAGGAUGAUCAGCCACACUGGAACUGAGACACGGUCCAGACUCCUACGGGAGGCAGCAGUGGGGAAUAUUGGACAAUGGGCGCAAGCCUGAUCCAGCCAUACCGCGUGGGUGAAGAAGGCCUUCGGGUUGUAAAGCCCUUUUGUUGGGAAAGAAAAGCAGCAGGUUAAUACCCCGCUGUUCUGACGGUACCCAAAGAAUAAGCACCGGCUAACUUCGUG